GAAAGAUGGCUUUGGCUAUCACUCUGGGAUGGACCUGCGGUGCAUUAGCUAGUUGGUAAGGUAACGGCUUACCAAGGCGAUGAUGCAUAGCCGAGUUGAGAGACUGAUCGGCCACAAUGGAACUGAGACACGGUCCAUACUCCUACGGGAGGCAGCAGUAGGGAAUCUUCCACAAUGGGCGCAAGCCUGAUGGAGCAACACCGCGUGAGUGAAGAAGGGUUUCGGCUCGUAAAGCUCUGUUGUUGGAGAAGAACGUGCGUGAGAGUAACUGUUCACGCAGUGACGGUAUCCAACCAGAAAGUCACGGCUAACUACGUGCCAGCAGCCGCGGUAAUACGUAGGUGGCAAGCGUUAUCCGGAUUUAUUGGGCGUAAAGCGAGCGCAGGCGGUUGCUUAGGUCUGAUGUGAAAGCCUUCGGCUUAACCGAAGAAGUGCAUCGGAAACCGGGCGACUUGAGUGCAGAAGAGGACAGUGGAACUCCAUGUGUAGCGGUGGAAUGCGUAGAUAUAUGGAAGAACACCAGUGGCGAAGGCGGCUGUCUGGUCUGCAACUGACGCUGAGGCUCGAAAGCAUGGGUAGCGAACAGGAUUAGAUACCCUGGUAGUCCAUGCCGUAAACGAUGAGUGCUAGGUGUUGGAGGGUUUCCGCCCUUCAGUGCC
rnacentral:rRNA from 1 species